rnacentral:rRNA from 1 species
GAUGAACGCUGGCGGCGUGCCUAAUACAUGCAAGUCGAGCGAACAGACGAGGAGCUUGCUCCUCUGACGUUAGCGGCGGACGGGUGAGUAACACGUGGAUAACCUACCUAUAAGACUGGGAUAACUUCGGGAAACCGGAGCUAAUACCGGAUAAUAUAUUGAACCGCAUGGUUCAAUAGUGAAAGACGGUUUUGCUGUCACUUAUAGAUGGAUCCGCGCCGCAUUAGCUAGUUGGUAAGGUAACGGCUUACCAAGGCAACGAUGCGUAGCCGACCUGAGAGGGUGAUCGGCCACACUGGAACUGAGACACGGUCCAGACUCCUACGGGAGGCAGCAGUAGGGAAUCUUCCGCAAUGGGCGAAAGCCUGACGGAGCAACGCCGCGUGAGUGAUGAAGGGCUUCGGAUCGUAAAACUCUGUUAUUAGGGAAGAACAAAUGUGUAAGUAACUAUGCACGUCUGGACGGUACCUAAUCAGAAAGCCACGGCUAACUACGG